rnacentral:rRNA from 1 species
GACGAACGCUGGCGGCGUGCCUAAUACAUGCAAGUAGAACGCAGUUGCGAACGGGUGAGUAACGCGUAGGUAACUGCCUCAUAGCGGGGGAUAACUAUUGGAAACGAUAGCUAAUACCGCAAACUGUGAGAUGGACCUGCGUUGUAUUAGGUAGUUGGGGAGGUAAAGGCACACCAAGGCGACGAUACAUAGCCGACCUGAGAGGGGGAUCGGCCAAACUGGGACUGAGGCACGGCCCAGACUCCUACGGGAGGGAGCAGGAGGGAAUCUUCGGCAAUGGACGGAAGUCUGACCGAGCAACGCCGCGUGAGUGAAGAAGGUUUUCGGAUCGUAAAGCUCUGUUGUUAGGGAAGCGGUAACUGACGAGAAAGAGACGGCUAACUACGUGCCAGCAGCCGCGGUAAUUC